rnacentral:rRNA from 1 species
GACGAACGCUGGCGGCGUGCUUAACACAUGCAAGUCGAACGGAAAGGCCCUUCGGGGUACUCGAGUGGCGAACGGGUGAGUAACACGUGGGUGAUCUGCCCUGCACUUUGGGAUAAGCCUGGGAAACUGGGUCUAAUACCGAAUAGGACCACGCGCUUCAUGGUGUGUGGUGGAAAGCUUUUGCGGUGUGGGAUGGGCCCGCGGCCUAUCAGCUUGUUGGUGGGGUAGUGGCCUACCAAGGCGACGACGGGUAGCCGGCCUGAGAGGGUGACCGGCCACACUGGGACUGAGAUACGGCCCAGACUCCUACGGGAGGCAGCAGUGGGGAAUAUUGCACAAUGGGCGCAAGCCUGAUGCAGCGACGCCGCGUGAGGGAUGACGGCCUUCGGGUUGUAAACCUCUUUCAAUAGGGACGAAGCGCAAGUGACGGUACCUAUAGAAGAAGCACCGGCCAACUACGUGCCAGCAGCCGCGGUAAUACGUAGGGUGCGAGCGUUGUCCGGAAUUACUGGGCGUAAAGAGCUCGUAGGUGGUUUGUCGCGUUGUUCGUGAAAACUCACAGCUUAACUGUGGGCGUGCGGGCGAUACGGGCAGACUAGAGUACUGCAGGGGAGACUGGAAUUCCUGGUGUAGCGGUGGAAUGCGCAGAUAUCAGGAGGAACACCGGUGGCGAAGGCGGGUCUCUGGGCAGUAACUGACGCUGAGGAGCGAAAGCGUGGGGAGCGAACAGGAUUAGAUACCCUGGUAGUCCACGCCGUAAACGGUGGGUACUAGGUGUGGGUUCCUUCCUUGGGAUCCGUGCCGCAGCUAACGCAUUAAGUACCCCGCCUGGGGAGUACGGCCGCAAGGCUAAAACUCAAAGGAAUUGACGGGGGCCCGCACAAGCGGCGGAGCAUGUGGAUUAAUUCGAUGCAACGCGAAGAACCUUACCUGGGUUUGACAUGCACAGGACGCCGGCAGAGAUGUCGGUUCCCUUGUGGCCUGUGUGCAGGUGGUGCAUGGCUGUCGUCAGCUCGUGUCGUGAGAUGUUGGGUUAAGUCCCGCAACGAGCGCAACCCUUGUCCUAUGUUGCCAGCGGGUUAUGCCGGGGACUCGUAGGAGACUGCCGGGGUCAACUCGGAGGAAGGUGGGGAUGACGUCAAGUCAUCAUGCCCCUUAUGUCCAGGGCUUCACACAUGCUACAAUGGCCGGUACAAAGGGCUGCGAUGCCGUGAGGUGGAGCGAAUCCUUUCAAAGCCGGUCUCAGUUCGGAUCGGGGUCUGCAACUCGACCCCGUGAAGUCGGAGUCGCUAGUAAUCGCAGAUCAGCAACGCUGCGGUGAAUACGUUCCCGGGCCU